UGCGGAGAUGCGGCCCUUGAAGAAAUACGAUGAUAUGCAAGCUACGCCCCGAUCUACCAUUGGCGGUGGGAAAGAUCCUGGAAACACGUGUUAAAUCGGUCCCACACACAUCGCCAACGUUUACCAAUCCUAUAUUAUCCGCCGGCCUCGUCCCGGCAUUAAAUUCCGAUGCUCAAAAGCCCUUGCACAUAAUUAGCUUCGUCGUUUAACUCUGGUGCACAGAAAGACUUUGAAUUUGCAUAUACUUUUACGGUAGCUAAUAACAUUUUGUUUUUCAAUCCGUUAUCAGAAUGAAAAUCGAAUUCAAAGAAUUCGAAGAAUUCGAUUUUUAUUCUAUAGCGAUAACGAAGGCUACUUUCUUAGUUCCAACUUUCCCAUUCGCUCCGCUAUAGUCAUCUACCUUAUCUAGGGGUGCUUUCGCAAUUCGCUAAUGUCCGAUGCCCGCGUUCGAUGGCGCUAGCGGUCUUCCCUCGCGUUUUCUUUCUUUUCUAUUUCGUCGCAUUUACCCCUGGACAGUUUUUUAUUGCCAUUAUCAUUCAACCUGAUUCAACGGCUCUCGCGUUCUCUUUUCUUAUUCCUUUUCACAUCCGCGCACACACUCCCGCGAUUCACACUCUGCUUUCCAUCCCCGGAUUGUUGAAAGAAGAGCACACUCAAUUGGCAAUCGAGAAACGUCAGAUUUAAAUCCUGGCUCAGCCCCUGUAGGACUCUUCGAUCAAUUUAUAAACCUCCUUCAUCAGAAAGCUCAUUUCGAAACAGCUUUUUCCCGAGAAUAGUCAACGCGGUGUCAACUUUUCAAAAAUUCCUGCUGAAAAAUUGUCCACGCAUCUGAAAAUUCUUACUUGCGUUUAAACUCCGAGUGAAAGCAGUGAAUCAUCGCACGAAGAAUUAUAUCCUCUUACGCUGCUUUCAUUCUCGCACCACUUAACGCAAUUGCCUUUGUGUAAAAGAUCUGCUAAAGUCUGAGCGAAACUAAUCCGCGAUGAUGUCACCGCGAACAUAGUUCACGCAAACAUUCGUCGCUUUCAACGAAAAAAACACAAUUUUCAGUUAUUCACAGCCGCGUUAUCCCUUCCCGUACCAAUUUGGCGACCCGAGGCCCUUAAUAAGUCUCUGAACGAGUGAGCAAAACAGCAAAGUGACGGGAUAAUACUCCGAUAUCAAAGCUGCAACACCCGCGUCAUAUCAAAAUGAAUCGAGCCUUUGAAAUUUCGUUCUUCAGCCAUUUGAUGACGAGUCGAGCUCCCCCACGAGCCAAAGAGCGUGAAGAUUAUGACGAGAUUCCCCUCGCUGGUAUCCAAUUGUUGAUGAGCUAACGGCAAAAAAUGCAAAUUAAUGGAAGUCGAUAAAAAUGUUUUGAUGGACGAAAUAAUUCACGAUUUCAAACGUCAUCAUCGAACGAUGGCGAGGACCCUCGUUUGAUUGGAACUAACUUUUGGGCAAUUCAGCUUAAAAAGAAUGACUGAAGUAACUGGAUCUUCGACCGGAUCCAGGAUUCUCGUCGCUCCGAGUAAAAUGCUGAAAACAGAGAGUCCAGGAGCCAGCCCGAUUUCUUUCUUUCACGUCGUCGUGUCAGCGUCCCCGUUGGUUUGGUUAUCGCUCCGUUCACGGUGCAGUUUUGAGGUUCUAGGAAAAAAGUCAUGUCGAAUGGCUCGCAUACGGACGUUCGGAAGCACAAUUAUAUGCAGCAGGUCUCGAGGUACAUGGACGGUCUUGGUAACCCCACCAGAGGUCGAAUCCAUAGACGUUAGUGUAUCCAAGAGUUUACGUUUCCCCAAGGACGAGUAGGCCCCAAAUCGACCCGAGCCACUGACGGAGGGUUGCUCGUGACGAGGGUUGCUCACCUUUCCUCGUGACUCUUAGCAGCCCCUGUUCAGGCAACUUGAUCUACCGUUGAAUAUUGAACGGAAAAACCGUUCGUCAAGUAAGAGCGAAAAAAGUGCUCGUGAGAUUCGAUACGUAAGAAGAAAUCCGGAUGAAAAGCGUGACGAAAUUUCCAAAAAGCACUGACGAUGAAAAUGUGGCGAAGGUGAAACGAUUUUCGUACUUUCUUCUGACUCAAUCGCCGCCUUGUGACGCGGUCUCGCUUUUACUCGACUGGCCAGUUCAAGUCUCUCCGAAGUGUGUGUGGCUCCGUUCGACGACGGUCGCUCGACAGUCAGCAUCGAAACGCAGAUAAUUGAAUGAAAUUGAGGAAUCUCCUGUUAUCAUUAAUCGAAUUAUACGAGUUGUGUGGAGGAACCUGUGAAACUCGAUUAACCGUUGACGAGCUGAGCUCGGGGUGGGAUACAAAUUAACGGGAGUCCGCGCAGAUAUCGAGAGUCUGAAGAUUUCCCAAUACCAUCGAUCAAAACGAAAUUAAAUGAAAAUGAAAUUUCGUAAAACACAGUAGCCAGAAAAGCUUUGGACGAAAGGUGAUUCCUGCGGAUCGCGUGCUGCCUAAAUAUCGAUAUGCAUCAACGAGCGCGAUCAUGGGUCGGAUCCACUCGCAGAGUCAAACUAUGAAUUAUCAGGACAAAUGAUAGGAAGCAACGUGUCGAACACGAGCGACAAUUAUGUGUACAAGCGAUCACGAGCGAUAAUUCAUUUUUUGAAAGUGAUGAGAGAUUGAUGCGAGCCUGUUACCGACGUGCUUUAUUGGAUUUGCUUCGAGAGAAUGACAAAGCUGUUAAUCUUUAGUGCCCAUCGUAAAUUCUCUUCCUCCUGGCUGCUUGGGGCUUUGCAAUUGAAAAGUCAUUUCGUAUACGUUCCGCGAUAGCGUUUGCUCGACUGUGCGUGUCUCAUCGCACGUAUAGAGAUAUACUCGAGACGUGAGAAUAUAGAAAAAAAUGAGUAAUUUAAAGUGGUGCUGGUACGCAGCGGGGAUAAAAAAGCGACGCUGGAUAACCAGGUUAAUCAAAUUAUACGAUUCCAAUAGCCCGGCUCUCAAAGCCCUUUGUACGAACGCAGAUCUAUUACAUGCUCUCUGAGUGGCUACAGCCAUAUAUGGAGAUUCGAUGGAGUGUCGUAUCGAAUUUAUCGUAUCGAAUAAAGUCGUACAAGUGCGCCUAACAGCGAUAGAAAUGAAACGUUCCAUCGGUUGUCACGGAACCUUUCGCUCGGAAAUGUUGCCCAGGGUUGACAGCAGCGGCGGGCAUUUUUUCAAGAGCAUCAAUCGCAAUAUCCCCGGGCACGUUGGUCAUUCGAUUACCAGCACUCGUGAUUACUCUUCGGAAUCGUCGACCGAACGCGAGGAUUAGUGUUGCCAUUCGCACUCUCUAUCCCUUCAGCAGUUCUGUUCUAAUGUUUGCAAAAAAAGACGUCGAUUCAUCGGCGGAUGAUAUCGCGUUGACAAAAUAUUUCUGGCAGUGCUGACCUCGGUUUCGGAGUUUCAUGACGUUCCAUUAAUAUAUUUGGCUUCCUGCGUCAUCGCGAUGGUGGACGUUUGUUCUCCUUACGUAUCCCGAUGCUGCAUCAGAAAUUUUUGUUUUCGAGGCUGGAAUUGCUCGUCGAGGUGAAAGCUUCCCGAUAUUUACCAACUCGUAUAAGCUCUGUGCAUCGAGCGGGUCUCACGCAGCAGCUACUCGGCACAUUGCUGGCUCGGGUUUCCAGGCAAAGAUUAUCGAUUUAUCAGCCUGCUCUCCGCACCCACUCGCGCCCUCGACCGAAUGCAAAGUAAAUUGUAAACAGUUUCGUUAUUUAUAUUUCUCGGUUAAAAUAAACGAAUUAGGCUCCUCCGGAUGCUUCGGCGAAAUUGUGCA